rnacentral:rRNA from 1 species
AAACGGAAAGGCGACUGCGGAGGACAUUA